CAAAAACAUAUGGAUAAUCUCAUUUCAUUAUCUCGUCAGAUCAGUAUCGCGUUACCAUUGUACCAAUAUUUUUGCUGUAUUUACAUAAUAUUUGAGACAAUAUUUAUAUAGAAAUUUUCUGCAAACUAAUUGACCCCCCACUAUGAGUCAAAUAAUUCAAAAUAUUUUGGAAUUUGGAAGAAGACAAAGUUUUCUAAUAAGACGAGAAAUUUCUUCAUGCUUUGAUUUUUAUGCACUCAUCAAAAAUAAAAUACUUUUCCUCAACAUGACAACUUUUAUCGUGGGUCAGGUCGCAGUGUCUUACACCGAGUGUGAAGAAAUAAGGAGGAUAAUCGUGUACACAGUAUUGACCAUGAUGCUGUCUUUGGUCACGGUCUGGUGCACCAGUAAAUUUGGAAUUAUUCAGAAAUACUUUUUCUGGUUGAUGAACGAUGAAGAUCACCCACAUAUUCCACGACCUCAUGGAGAACGAAACCAAUUUGAUGAGGAUAUUGAAGCUUGAAUCCCAUUGAUUAAUAAUUACCGCGGGCUAGAGAAAUUUCGAAAAGGAUAAAAAUAAUGGCAACUAAUUAAUUAUAAUUACCGUAUUAUCAUGAGGGUAAUACGUCUUUAUUGAGAUGACAAUUGAGUUGAAUAAACUGUGUGAAGCUAAUGC